rnacentral:snRNA from 1 species
GUGCUUGCUUCAGCGUCACAUAUACUAAAAUUGGAACAAUACAGAGAAGAUGAACAUGGCUCUUGCUCAAGGAUUUUUAAAAAUAAUUAAAAUGGCCAGGCGUGG